GGCCACAGCUAUAUAACCUUACAGCCCAAGACCAGUUACUCAAUGAAGCUAAGCAGGGCCGAGCCUGGUCAAUAUCUCGAUUGGAUCCCACAUAGGAAAACUAGGUCGCUGUUGGAA
rnacentral:rRNA from 1 species